rfam:Populus trichocarpa scaffold_9_contig_105, whole genome shotgun sequence.
CAAAGAAGAGCUUGUCAACCUAGCCAAGGAGACUGCCUGAAACCCGUAAUGUGGGUUUCUGCCUACUUUGUCCAGAACAUAUCCUUAGUUGCUAGGACCAGGCAAGCCGUCCUUGGAUAGCCAACAACUCUUGUUU